UCGGGGCGCAGCAGGCGCGAAAACUUUACAAUGCCGGCAACGGCGAUAAGGGAACCUCGAGUGCCAGGUUACAAAUCUGGCUGUCGUGAUGCCUAAAAAGCAUUGCAUAGCAAGGGCCGGGCAAGACCGGUGCCAGCCGCCGCGGUAACACCGGCGGCUCGAGUGGUAACCGUUAUUAUUGGGUCUAAAGGGUCUGUAGCCGGCCGGAUAAGUCUCUUGGGAAAUCUGGCAGCUUAACUGUCAGGCUUUCAGGAGAUACUGUCUGGCUCGAGGCCGGGAGAGGUGAGAGGUACUUCAGGGGUAGGGGUGAAAUCUUGUAAUCCUUGAAGGACCACCAGUGGCGAAGGCGUCUCACCAGAACGGACCUGACGGCAAGGGACGAAAGCUAGGGGCACGAACCGGAUUAGAUACCCGGGUAGUCCUAGCCGUAAACGAUACUCGCUAGGUGUCGGCCACGGUGCGACCGUGGUCGGUGCCGUAGGGAAGCCGUGAAGCGAGCCACCUGGGAAGUACGGCCGCAAGGCUGAAACUUAAAGGAAUUGGCGGGGGAGCAC
rnacentral:rRNA from 1 species